AUUGAACGCUGGCGGCAUGCCUUACACAUGCAAGUCGAACGGCAGCGGGGGAGAAGCUUGCUUUUCCUGCCGGCGAGUGGCGAACGGGUGAGUAAUACAUCGGAACGUGCCCUGUAGUGGGGGAUAACUAGUCGAAAGAUUAGCUAAUACCGCAUACGACCUGAGGGUGAAAGUGGGGGACCGCAAGGCCUCAUGCUAUAGGAGCGGCCGAUGUCAGAUUAGCUAGCUGGUGGGGUAAGGGCCUACCAAGGCGACGAUCAGUAGCGGGUCUAAGAGGACGAUCAGCCACACUGGGACUGAGACACGGCCCAGACUCCUACGGGAGGCAGCAGUGGGGAAUUUUGGACAAUGGGCGAAAGCCUGAUCCAGCAAUGCCGCGUGUGUGAAGAAGGCCUUCAGGUUGUAAAGCACUUUUGUCCGGAAAGAAAUGGCUCUGGUUAAUACCUGGGGUCGAUGACGGUACCGGAAGAAUAAGGACCGGCUAACUACGUGCCAGCCGCCGCGGUAAAAC
rnacentral:rRNA from 1 species